ACCUCUGUGGAUAUUUCGGCUGCCGUCAAAAACCUCUCAAACGUCUGGGUCUGAAGUCGGAAGAGAUAAAAUGUGAGCAGACGUUAGCAGGUGCUGGGCUAGCGGCCAUCUCACUGGGCUCAUACAUCAGGCUCCUAAAGGCCUCACUGAGGAAGCUCGGGCAGCACUGUGGGUAUUCAAGAUGACGACUUACUGUCAUGUUUCAGAAGUCUGAGGAAGAGCUGCGUGGCUGGAAAUGUCACUGCGUUAAAUCGCUCUAGCAGCCGUCUCCAAGAAACCAAGAAACACUGGUUUGUGACGUGCAACUGCAAUCUUCACCACUAGAUGUCACUAAUCCCUUUGAGUCUGACACACUGGACCUUUAAAGCCCAGGUUGCCGUUUACAGAUCAUGAAAGGUUUAGAAAUGACACAUCAAGCAAACUCUUCUUCAUUGAGAGAUAUGUCGUAGUUAAAUGGGGCAAGAUGAACUUUAGAUUCACAAAAUCAGAGGAAAAUCCGUGAGUCUCUAAAUAAAACCUGUAGUAGGUUUGUCAUCUGUGAUAAAGAGACGACCUGGAGUCUGUGUGUGAGCCUCAGUGACCCAGUUCAGUCUUACCUGGCUGACAGCACUGUCCCAGUUAGAGGUUGGAAAGCUCCCAGCUGACUCGAACACAACAGGAGCAUCCCAGGUGCUGAAAUCCACCUUAAUCGUCUGCGCUCAUUAGACGGAGCUCUAAGUGGGAACAUUUAACCAUAGAAGUCUUAAUAUUCCACACCUGGAGGAGCAUUAUGGGUACUGUAGUCACAACACUGUGCUUCCAGACACCUCCUGGAGCUGCUGAAGCGGACAGCCGUCCACGGGGAGAGUAACUCGGUGCUGAUCGUGGGUCCCAGGGGAGCGGGGAAGACAAUGCUGCUCCAGUGUGUGCUCAGAGACCUGCUGGGGGAACAGGAAGUGCAGAAGAACCUGCUGCAGGUUCACCUCAACGGUCUCCUGCAGACGGACGACAGAAUAGCGCUGAAAGAAAUAACGCGGCAGCUCCACCUGGAAAACGUCGUCGGUGACAAAGUGUUUGGAAGCUUUGCAGAGAAUCUGGCUUUCUUGCUGGAGGCGCUGAAGAAAGGUGA